AUACAGCUAUUUCAAUUAAGGUUGUCCACGAGCAACGCGGAAAAGUCGAAUACGAGCGCGAAAGCUGCUGGGAAUCGCUAACAAAUUGAUGAAUUUUCAAAGCGGUUCCCAGCAACCUUUCGCGCUCGUAUUCGACUUUUCCGCUUUGCUCGUGGAAAACCUUA